AUGACGCUCAUCAGCUGGAGCUGUCGAGGAAUUGGGCAGCCUCGCACAGUUCGUGCGCUUGUGGGCCUAGUGCACACACAUAAGCCUAAAUUAGUUUUCCUGUCAGAGACUCGGAAAAGUGAUGAUUAUGUGAAUAAAUUAAGAUGGAGGUUGGGCCUCCGGUGUUGUAUUGUGCAGCCCGGCAUCGGUAAGAGUGCCGGUAUUGCACUUUUUUAUGAUGAGGGUGUUGAAAUAAAGGAAAUUGCUGUUGGACCGAGGUAUAUCGAUGUGCUCAUUCGUUUAAACCCUAAUGGUAUGCAAUGGAGAGGCACAUUUGUAUACGGUGAGCCCAAAUCACAUGAAAGAUACCACAUGUAG
rnacentral:rRNA from 1 species